ACGGGGCCGCACAAGCGGUGGAUCAUGUGGUUUAAUUCGACGCUACGCGAAGAACCUUACCUGGGCUCGAACGACUAGUUUCGUACCCCUAUGAAAGUGGGGGGACUCGCAAGAGCGCUAGCCGAGGUGCUGCAUGGUUGUCGUCAGCUCGUGUCGUGAGAUGUUGGGUUAAGUCCCGCAACGAGCGCAACCCUUGUCAUUAGUUGCUACAUUCAGUUGGGCACUCUAAUGAGACUGCCGGUGACAAGCCGGAGGAAGGUGGGGAUGACGUCAAGUCCUCAUGGCCCUUAUAGGUGGGGCUACACACGUCAUACAAUGGCUGGUACAAAGGGUUGCCAACCCGCGAGGGGGAGCCAAUCCCAUAAAGCCAGUCGUAGUCCGGAUCGUAGUCUGCAACUCGACUACGUGAAGUCGGAAUCGCUAGUAAUCGUGGAUCAGAAUGUCACGGUGAAUACGUUCCCGGGUCUU
rnacentral:rRNA from 1 species